rnacentral:rRNA from 1 species
UGCAGUCGACGAUGAACCGGCUUCGGUCGGGGAUUAGUGGCGAACGGGUGAGUAACACGUGGGCAAUCUGCCCUGCACUCUGGGACAAGCCCUGGAAACGGGGUCUAAUACCGGAUACGACCUGUCAAGGCAUCUUGGCGGGUGGAAAGCUCCGGCGGUGCAGGAUGAGCCCGCGGCCUAUCAGCUUGUUGGUGGGGUGAUGGCCUACCAAGGCGACGACGGGUAGCCGGCCUGAGAGGGCGACCGGCCACACUGGGACUGAGACACGGCCCAGACUCCUACGGGAGGCAGCAGUGGGGAAUAUUGCACAAUGGGCGAAAGCCUGAUGCAGCGACGCCGCGUGAGGGAUGACGGCCUUCGGGUUGUAAACCUCUUUCAGCAGGGAAGAAGCGAGAGUGACGGUACCUGCAGAAGAAGCGCCGGCUAACUACGUGCCAGCAGCCGCGGUAAUACGUAGGGCGCAAGCGUUGUCCGGAAUUAUUGGGCGUAAAGAGCUCGUAGGCGGCUUGUCGCGUCGGUUGUGAAAGCCCGGGGCUUAACCCCGGGUCUGCAGUCGAUACGGGCAGGCUAGAGUUCGGUAGGGGAGAUCGGAAUUCCUGGUGUAGCGGUGAAAUGCGCAGAUAUCAGGAGGAACACCGGUGGCGAAGGCGGAUCUCUGGGCCGAUACUGACGCUGAGGAGCGAAAGCGUGGGGAGCGAACAGGAUUAGAUACCCUGGUAGUCCACGCCGUAAACGUUGGGAACUAGGUGUGGGUCACAUUCCACGUGGUCCGUGCCGCA